rnacentral:tRNA from 1 species
GCCGCCAUAGCUCAGUUGGUAGAGCGGUGCAUUCGUAAUGCAUAGGUCUGGUGUUCGAGUCACCCUGGCGGCACCA